GGAGAGGUGGCCGAGUGGUUGAAGGCGCACGCCUGGAAAGUGUGUAUACGUCCAAAAGGCGUAUCGAGGGUUCGAAUCCCUCCCUCUCCGCCA
rnacentral:tRNA from 1 species